CAUAUCUAGUUUUGAAUAUAUAUAUAUUCAAAUAUAUAUAUUUGGUGUCUCCUACAGCAAUGAGGUUAGGUAGAAUUUUAGCAUGGAUUGUGCGCAACUAGCUAAAGAAUGUAGAAUCCACAAAUGACAAUGGCAAAUAAUCUCACUCCUGUUCUUAGGAACCUAUUGAGGUUGAUGUUUAUCUGGACCUCAAGCCAUUCCUCUCACUGCCCAUCCUCCUAAGUAUGAUGUAUGGCCUGAAGAAAUAAUCAUGGUGGGAACACAGCUUUUCUGAUGUCUCGAAAUUUUUGGAUAAACUAAGGAUUUGGAAGUUCAUCAUUGGAAAAAAUUUUCAUCAAAGGAGCAAGAAAUUCUUCAUAACUUCAACACAACAUGGCCUUUGGGAACAGAAUAAAACACAAAUAAGGAAAGGCGGAAAAUGAUUGACACAUGCACUGUUCUUGGUUUGAAAUUUAACAAUCAUGCUAGUUAUAGGAUACAGCUUUGAAAUUAGAGUCAAUGAGAGUUUGAAAAAUACUGAGGAAGAGUAGGUAAAUUGAAUUCUUGCUGCAUGAAAG